GAAAUGCGAUAAGUAAUGUGAAUAGCAGAAUUCAGUGAAUCAUCGAAUCUUUGAACGCACAUUGCGCCCGCCAGUAUUCUGGCGGGCAUGCCUGUCCGAGCGUCAUUUCAACCAUCAAGCCCCCGGGCUUGUGUUGGGGACCUGCGGCUGCCCGCAGGCCCUGAAAACCAGUGGCGGGCUCGCUGUCACACCGAGCGUAGUAGCAAUCACCUCGCUCAGGGCGUGCUGCGGGUUCCGGCCGUUAAACAGCCUUACAAAACCCAAGGUUGACCUCGGAUCAGGUAGGAAGACCCGCUGAACUUAAGC
rnacentral:misc_RNA from 1 species